GGGAGCUUGCUCCCUGAUGUUAGCGGCGGACGGGUGAGUAACACGUGGGUAACCUGCCUGUAAGACUGGGAUAACUCCGGGAAACCGGGGCUAAUACCGGAUGCUUGAUUGAACCGCAUGGUUCAAUUAUAAAAGGUGGCUUUUAGCUACCACUUACAGAUGGACCCGCGGCGCAUUAGCUAGUUGGUGAGGUAACGGCUCACCAAGGCAACGAUGCGUAGCCAACCUGAGAGGGUGAUCGGCCACACUGGGACUGAGACACGGCCCAAACUCCUACGGGAGGCAGCAGUAGGGAAUCUUCCGCAAUGGACGAAAGUCUGACGGAGCAACGCCGCGUGAGUGAUGAAGGUUUUCGGAUCGUAAAACUCUGUUGUUAGGGAAGAACAAGUACCGUUCGAAUAGGGCGGUACCUUGACGGUACCUAACCAGAAAGCCACGGCUAACUACGUGCCAGCAGCCGCGGUAAUACGUAGGUGGCAAGCGUUGUCCGGAAUUAUUGGGCGUAAAGCGCGCGCAGGCGGUUUCUUAAGUCUGAUGUGAAAGCCCCCGGCUCAACCGGGGAGGGUCAUUGGAAACUGGGGAACUUGAGUGCAGAAAGAGGAGAGUGAAAUUCCACGUGUAGCGGUGAAAUGCGUAGAGAUGUGGAGGAACACCAGGUGUCGAAGGCGACUCUCUGGUCUGUAACUGAC
rnacentral:rRNA from 1 species